rnacentral:rRNA from 1 species
GUGAAUUGCAGAAUUCCGCGAAUCAUCGAGUCUUUGAACGCAAGUUGCGCCCGAGGCUUGUCCGAGGGCAUUUCCGCUAGAGCGUCACC